GCUGCAUAUUCUCUUUUAGCUAAGAGCUUACCGUGUAAUUCAUCCUACCCAAAAAGUGUUAUAAUAAAUGCAAAAAGAACUCUGGAUUCCAUAGUGAGACAGGCUGGUGUUUCUGUUCCAAUAGCCAUGGAGCUCUCUCAGCGUCACUGUCCUCAGAACCCAACCGGGUGUCCGCCCUUAGGUGUCACAGUCGGCGAACCGUCCUCUGUGGCUGAUCCGGAGAGCACAGAGAGGAUAAAUAUGAAAUCCAAAAAGGGUAUUUGAAGUUCAAACUUCUAGGUGUAGAAAACAGGCUGAUGAAAUUGCUCACUACAGCCACGGGAUAUGCUUCUGUCGUGAGAGAAGAUCAUGAGCCUUUCUAUAGAGCAACAGUGGUUUGAAUGGAGAGACAUCUUUCGAUUUUAAAGAUAUACAAGUAACAGCCACGGGAGCUGGGAGGAUACUGAAAGGGCUAAGCUGUGCGGAUUUCUCCCAGAAGGCCUCGAGGGGAACACCCAGUAAUUAAACAGAGCAAUCCGGGAACUUGGAGUCUUCCAUGUGGCUCCUGGUGGCUCCACCCUCUUCCAAAGCCAACGCCCACCAAGCCUGACUCUGUAUCAAUUUCAGUAGCAUUCUUUCUUCACCGAAGAAAAGCAAAGAGACACAGAACGCUGAGUAAAUUUGUGGGCGAUCUGUUUGCUGUUCUAAAGAGAAAGUAAAUAUUUGUGGCAUUUAUGAAGCCGGCUACAGAAUCCUGUAACUGAAGAAUGAAGCUCUCCGUGGCAUUUUUUUUUCUGCAUAAACAGCUGGCUCUGGGAUGGAAGUUUGGCUGAAACAUUUUUACCUUCUUAGAUACCGUGUUUACUUUGAGCGAAGCGAGGAGUCUGCGCAGCCUGGAGAUGACAUCUGUUUCCGCAGCUUGGAAGGCUUCUACUCCAGCUGCUGCCCGGAAAAGGAGGCGGGCACUUCUUCAGGGCAGUGGAAAAACACAGCUUUGAAAAUUCCGUGACAUAAAGGCUCCCUACAUAAGAGUAGUGAAUAGAAGAAUGAACCAAGUGAUUUACUCACAGUUGUUAUCUAUAACAUUAUUAGCACUAUCACUUUUCAUUUUCUCAGUCUGCAUAAAUAAAAUCCGAGUCUAAGUGUAAUAGCGGCGCGUGCAUUUUGCAUGUGUCCGCUAACUGGCUUGCAAUCACUUCAUAAACGGUUGCCUGCCGUCUUCUCUUCCUCCACUCUUCUUUUGGGGCUGCAUUUUUAGCACUUCAAUUUUCUGUACUUGUUCU
rnacentral:lncRNA from 1 species